rnacentral:lncRNA from 1 species
UAUCAGCCUUAGGUCUUAAUAAAAGUAUUGAAGAAUUUAUAAUCGGAAACGCAGAUAGCAUUUUUCAGUAGUGCACUGCAUAAACCUCCACAAAAACCUAAAAGGUAAAGUACUCUGUUUCCCUUAUCCUCUCUUUCCCAUCAGCCGCCGCAAGCUUUCCAUCCUCACGGUGGUCCGCUCCUUCAUCCGGCGACGUCCUACCGCCUCCCCUUGCUCGUCAUUGCAAAACCUCACUCACUUACGUUGGCUCGUCCGUACCCCCGGCCACUAUCUACCUCCACUUUAACGUCGUUCUCUGUUCUACACUUUGUUUACUUCUCUCUUUCCCUCUUCCUUCCGUCAUCUUCGUUGCUCGUUCUUCCGUCUUUGCUGCUUUUUACUCCCUUCACCGGACUCUCUCUCGUUUUAUUUUAUCUUUGUUUAUCUUUUAUUCGUUUCGGUACUAAUUUACUCUUUUUUUUUCAGAAGUUUGCUUCGAAUUUGAGCAAAUUUAAGGUAUUUAUUCCUAUGUUUCUCUAACUAGUUUUCUUAAAAAAACAUCUCGAAUUGUUUAAAAUUUUUUAUGGUUAUAUUUUUCCCUAACUGGUCAUGGAUAAGAAACUUUCAUCUUCUUCCAACAGAUUGUCAUCUUUAGCAUCCAUUUCUUCAUCUUCAUUUCUUAGUAGACGAAAUGUUGUUCUUAGAAGAUCUCGUCUGCCCAAGAUUUCUGCAGCAAAAGAGCUACAUUUCAAUAAGGAUGGGUCAGCCAUAAAGAAAUUACAA